UACAGAGGGUGCAAGCGUUAAUCGGAAUUACUGGGCGUAAAGCGUGCGUAGACGGUUGCGUAAGUCAGAUGUGAAAGCCCCGGGCUCAACCUGGGAAUUGCAUUUGAGACUGCGUAGCUAGGGUGCGGAAGAGGGAAGCGGAAUUUCCGGUGUAGCGGUGAAAUGCGUAGAUAUCGGAAGGAACACCAGUGGCGAAAGCGGCUUCUUGGUCCAGCACCGACGUUCAGGCACGAAAGCGUGGGGAGCAAACAGG
rnacentral:rRNA from 1 species